UAGCUGUCCUCUGGGAAUAUAAAGAUGUAGCAAGUAUAAAUACCACCAGAAGAGAUCUCAACCUAGGAUUAAGGUUGAAACAUUCUGUUCUUGAACAGAGGAAAAACACUCUUCACACAGUGCUUACGAGUUUCUGAAGUCUUUAUUGGUACUCUGCACACCUUCACACCUCCGUGAGAAGAAAACAGUAGAUUUAUAUUAGAAACUGUAUUGAAAAAUGUCUACUUCAAACACACUCAAAGGACUUUCCGGUUGUUUUAUUGCUAUGCCAGAAUACCUUCAUGUAACUGAAGUAACUUGGACUAAGCAAGAGAGAAAAACGUUAACAGGCCAGGCCUGGGUCCAACAGUGAAGAACGAGAAGAUUGUUCUUGAGGCCUAGUCAAUAUCAAUGUAAGCAUCACAAUGAAGGAAAACAUGACUACAUAAAAAAUUAACAACAAGGAGGCUGAUUUCCUUUUGAGAGGAAAAAAUUUUGAAAACCUGAAGAAUUGAGAGCAUAGAAAGAAACCCAUGUAAUCAUGUAAGUACAGUGCCUGCCACAAA
rnacentral:lncRNA from 1 species